ensembl:lncRNA
GUGAGUAAGAACUUUUAAACAGGUUAGCAAGUGUCCAGCUGGCAAGUGUCCUCACUGUCAUUUUCAACCUAUCCCUGACCCGGUCUGUAAUACCAACUUGUUUUAAGCUAGCCUCUGCCGAUUGCCCAAAGACCAGAUGUUCCAGUUUUCAAGUGAAAUGGAAAGUGAGCCUGUGACGUAACUUCCGCUUUUGGAUGUUUAUGAGAUGACACUCCAGCUUAACUCCUCCAUAUUUACUUGAGUGGUUGAACAGUGCAGAAGAGAACCUCCCCAAACAGAUUUUUCUUCAAGACCAGUAUGGAGGGGAUCUAGUUUCAGGCAUUUCUCUUAUGCCUGCUACAUUAGGUUAGUUUCAAACAGACCACCAUAGCCCCAGUGCCAGAGAACGCCAAGCUAACCUGCAUAAAUGUCUAACGUCCCUUAGCACUCACAUGUAUCGCUAUGAAAUGCUUUGAAAAGCUGGUCAUGGCUCAAAUCAACAAUUUAAUCCCAGACACCAUGAACCCAUUCCAAUUCGCAUACCACCCCAACAGAUCCACAAAUAACGCAAUCUCUUGCAAUCCACACUGCCCUCGCCCACCUGGACAAAAGGAAUACCUAUGUAAGAAUGCUGUUCAUUGACUACAGCUCAGCAUUUAACACCAUAGUCCCCUCCAAGCUCAGGACCCUGAGACUGAACACCUCCCUCUGCAAGUGGAUCCUGGACUUCCAGACGGGCCGUCCCCAGGCGAAAGAAGAUGGCGGAACGAAGAGAGGGCGGUGCAGCAGGUGCUGUUUCUCCUCCAGAUGCUGUUAUUUUAUCUAAAGAUUAGGUGUAUGCCAACCCCAGCUAACUAACUCUUGCAAAGAUUUAAAGCGCAAUUAUGUGUUUUAUCUCCAGUACAUUGCCACGAUUGUCAGCUAUGUAGCUGCUCUACUGAUAGUCUCAGCGCUUCCUUGCUGGGAUGACACAAUCAAUCUACUGUCGGGAAAUGCAAACUCCCCAGACAAACACCUGGGUUCACCAUUCCACACGAGCGGACAGUACACAUCAUACCAUAAUGUUCUGAAUAAUGGCCAACUCUACCUCGCUCCCUAUUCGACUGAAUCACUUGGGAGUAACAAACACAAGUCCAACACCUACCAGAAUCUGCUAAGCUACCUAUUCACUACCCUCCUGCUCUCUGGGGAGAUGCACCUCAACCCUGGGCCUAACACCACCGAACCAGAAAUACUCACCAGAGUGGAAAGCAGUGGAGGGCUGUGUCGUCAAAUCAUCGCCGCCACUGAGGUGGGUGAGUGUUAUGGUCCCAUGAUUUCUCUUGAGUCACCUGACUCCAAGAUGAAAUUUGACUCUACAAACAUAUCCAAGUCGCUAUACUCGAUCCCCGACUCUGCUUCUGGCACGCAAGCUGUUUUAAUUUGUUCCCCGCAUCCAAUGCAAGCGCAAGGGAUAGUUAAUUGCACUAACAAACUGCUCCUAUUCAAAACUAAACAAAACGGUCUAAACCCAGCAGUCAGAUAACACCAGUGUCUCACUCACGCUGGAGUCAUCUGGGACCCACAAGCUAAGCUCAAGGGGUACUAGAGGGGAACUUGAACAUUCACAGUGUCACUUCAAAAUGUGUUCACACAGAUUCCAACCUCGACUUCCUCAACCUUUCAGAGACACAGCUCCAUAAAAACUCUCCAUCUGCUGCUUUGAUUGUGAUUGGCUACAAUGUCUUCAGGAGAGACAGGAUUGAAGGAAGAGGAGGGGGUGUGAUGAUUUACAUUAAAGAACACAUCGAUGUAAACAAAUUGAGUGGUCAUGUGAUAAUGAACUAGAAUGUAUUGGCCUAAACGUUACACUGUCUCCCCAAAUGUCUUUUUACCCUCAUUGAAAUGUAUAGACCACCUUCCACCAAAAGUUUUUUUUAAACCAGUUUAAUAACAUACUUAGGAAAUUGGGA